GGCAGUUCUCAGGUGAUGCACCUCAGAAUUGGGCUCCCUCCUCUCUGUUUCCGGAGUGCAUUACCCGAGAACUGCC
rfam:Myotis lucifugus cont2.12047, whole genome shotgun sequence.